UGGGAUAAACCGUAAUCGUACCCCCUCCUAACUGCCAAAGUGUCAUGGCCGCCGUCGGGACCUAUUGUGCUGACAUUUACAAUGUUUACAUAUAGAAAAGUUUGUUUUUUUCUGCUUAUAAUGCCGUUUUCUAAAGAUAUUAGUGAACAAAAUCGAUUUGCUAACAAUAUUUAAUAUAUUUUAAAUGUGCUAAAAUUGGAUUCAACAGCAAAAGUCGCAUAAAUAACAUAUAAAUAACGAAUUUGUUUACCUAUUACAAAUGGGGUUAUGUGGUUGUAACUGUUUAUUUUGGGAAUAAAAUGAAAAUGAUCAAUUAAACGACUGGAAAACUAUAGUGAAGUGAAGAACAUCUUGAAGUUCCAAUGAUGUUUCAAGAUGAGGUAAAUCGAAAUAAUUGUAUGUUAGAAGGACAGAGAAUAUGAAGAAAUGUUAUUGCUGCAUAUUUAGUGUAGUGAAAUACAAACUUCAAACAUUAUAAUAUAUUUUUUGAUUUCAAACAUUUCAUAUGAUUAUGAAAGAACAUCUUUCUUUUUAAAACAAUGAAGAAGUGAAGAACAUAAUAAAGUUCCAACGAAAAUGAUUCCAGAUGAGGAAAAUCGAAAUAAUGGUUGUAUGUUACGUGUAUAGAGAAUACGAAGAAAUGUUAUUGCUGCAAACUUAGUGUAGUGAAUUAAAAACUUAUUGUCAAAUACAAAUCAAUUUAUUUCAUACUUUUAUAAUAUAUAGUGGUACAAUUUUAUAUGUGUUCAAAUAAAAAUAUUAAUAAAUAAAAUACAAUAAACACAAA
rnacentral:lncRNA from 1 species